rnacentral:rRNA from 1 species
UCUCAGAUUGAACGCUGGCGGCAGGCCUAACACAUGCAAGUCGAGCGGUAGCACAGGGAGCUUGCUCUUGGGUGACGAGCGGCGGACGGGUGAGUAAUGUCUGGGAAACUGCCUGAUGGAGGGGGAUAACUACUGGAAACGGUAGCUAAUACCGCAUAACGUCGCAAGACCAAAGAGGGGGACCUUCGGGCCUCUUGCCAUCAGAUGUGCCCAGAUGGGAUUAGCUAGUAGGUGGGGUAACGGCUCACCUAGGCGACGAUCCCUAGCUGGUCUGAGAGGAUGACCAGCCACACUGGAACUGAGACACGGUCCAGACUCCUACGGGAGGCAGCAGUGGGGAAUAUUGCACAAUGGGCGCAAGCCUGAUGCAGCCAUGCCGCGUGUAUGAAGAAGGCCUUCGGGUUGUAAAGUACUUUCAGCGGGGAGGAAGGCGAUAAGGUUAAUAACCUUGUCGAUUGACGUUACCCGCAGAAGAAGCACCGGCUAACUCCGUGCCAGCAGCCGCGGUAAUACGGAGGGUGCAAGCGUUAAUCGGAAUUACUGGGCGUAAAGCGCACGCAGGCGGUCUGUCAAGUCGGAUGUGAAAUCCCCGGGCUCAACCUGGGAACUGCAUUCGAAACUGGCAGGCUAGAGUCUUGUAGAGGGGGGUAGAAUUCCAGGUGUAGCGGUGAAAUGCGUAGAGAUCUGGAGGAAUACCGGUGGCGAAGGCGGCCCCCUGGACAAAGACUGACGCUCAGGUGCGAAAGCGUGGGGAGCAAACAGGAUUAGAUACCCUGGUAGUCCACGCCGUAAACGAUGUCGACUUGGAGGUUGUGCCCUUGAGGCGUGGCUUCCGGAGCUAACGCGUUAAGUCGACCGCCUGGGGAGUACGGCCGCAAGGUUAAAACUCAAAUGAAUUGACGGGGGCCCGCACAAGCGGUGGAGCAUGUGGUUUAAUUCGAUGCAACGCGAAGAACCUUACCUACUCUUGACAUCCAGAGAACUUUCCAGAGAUGGAUUGGUGCCUUCGGGAACUCUGAGACAGGUGCUGCAUGGCUGUCGUCAGCUCGUGUUGUGAAAUGUUGGGUUAAGUCCCGCAACGAGCGCAACCCUUAUCCUUUGUUGCCAGCGGUCCGGCCGGGAACUCAAAGGAGACUGCCAGUGAUAAACUGGAGGAAGGUGGGGAUGACGUCAAGUCAUCAUGGCCCUUACGAGUAGGGCUACACACGUGCUACAAUGGCGCAUACAAAGAGAAGCGACCUCGCGAGAGCAAGCGGACCUCAUAAAGUGCGUCGUAGUCCGGAUUGGAGUCUGCAACUCGACUCCAUGAAGUCGGAAUCGCUAGUAAUCGUAGAUCAGAAUGCUACGGUGAAUACGUUCCCGGGCCUUGUACACACCGCCCGUCACACCAUGGGAGUGGGUUGCAAAAGAAGUAGGUAGCUUAACCUUCGGGAGGGCGC